rnacentral:rRNA from 1 species
UACGUAGGGGGCGAGCGUUGUCCGAAUUCACUGGGCGUAAAGCGCGCGUAGGCGGACUCUUAAGUUGGGGGUGAAAUCCCGAGGCUCAACCUCGGAACUGCCUUCAAAACUGGGAGUCUUGAGGUAUGGAGAGGGAACUGGAAUUCCUGGUGUAGCGGUGAAAUGCGUAGAUAUCAGGAGGAACACCCAUGGCGAAGGCAGGUUCCUGGCCAUAUCCUGACGCUGAGGUGCGAAAGCUAGGGGAGCGAACGGG